GUAUUUACCUGGCAGGGGAGACACCAUGGUCAGACAGGUGGUUUUCCCAGGACAAGGCUCAUCUCCUGCUCUCCAGGUGUGCUGACCCCUGUGAUUUCCCCAGAUUUGUUAAACUUAGCUGCAUAAUUUGUAGUAGUGGGGAACUGUGUUUGUGCUCAACUACU
rfam:Colinus virginianus strain Texas jcf7180006227001, whole genome shotgun sequence.